AAUGUUUUUGAUGAAAUAGAGAAUAAAUGGAAAACAAUAUAUGAUGAAACAUUGUUGUUACAAACUGUUCCUAUCCUUCUGCAAGACACAUGGCAUUUGCUAUCCCACUGUAAGAAUUUGCUGCUUUAGAGGCACUGCAUUUAGUGUCACAUUGUAGGAUUAAAUUGGUUGUAGAAUUUAUAUUGAAACUUGCAUAUUUAUUUAGUUAAGUUUAAUCAAAGUUUAUAUUUGAUGUGUUUGUAUUAUUUUAGAAUUUACUGUUUUAGACACGUGGCAUGUGGUUUCCCACUGUAAGUUUGAAUUAGUAAAUUUAAAAAAAAUUAUAUUUAAACUUGCAUUUCUUUUGACGUUCAUGUUUAUAUAAUUAGAUUACAACUAAGUUUGUGUAUGGCUUGUUUAUAUUAUUUCAGAAUUUGCUAUUUUAGACACUUAGUAUAAGUUGUCAUACUGUAAGUUUAAAUUGGUUGUAAAAUUUAUAUUGUAACUUGCAUUUCUAUUGGCGUGCAUAUUUAUUUAAUUAAGUUUCAACUAUUAAUAAUAAUAAUAAUAAGUUUAUAUCUGGCGUGUUUAUAUUAUUUUAGAAUUUGCUGUUUUAGACACGUGGCUUGUGAUAUCUUACUAAUUAGCUAUUUUAAACAUGUGACAAGUGGUAUGACACUGUAUUGAUGUUUGUGAAAUGUAUAGAGUCUUUCAGUUAUCAGAUAAUGUCAAGGAGUUGACAGCAUGGUGUCUGAUUUAAAGUGCGAACCUGUGUACGAGUAACAACAGUAUUCAAAACCAAAACCUAUUAAAACCAAAGAAACCAAAACUAGCGACCAAAAACUAAUAUCUUGGCAUUGAUUUAUUUUAAACAUCUAUUAUAUAUAUGUGUGUGUUUUAUAUAAAUACUAGCUUGUACUAGC
rnacentral:misc_RNA from 1 species